CUAUGCGCCUUGCCAGCCCGCUCAGGUGUGCCAGCCGCGCGGUAAUACGUAGGUGGCAAGCGUUGUCCGGAUUAUUGGGCGUAAAGCGAGUGCAGGCGGUUCAAUAAGUCUGAUGUGAAAGCCUUCGGCUCAACCGGAGAAUUGCAUCAGAAACUGUUGAACUUGAGUGCAGAAGAGGAGAGUGGAACUCCAUGUGUAGCGGUGGAAUGCGUAGAUAUAUGGAAGAACACCAGUGGCGAAGGCGGCUCUCUGGUCUGCAACUGACGCUGAGGCUCGAAAGCAUGGGUAGCGAACAGG
rnacentral:rRNA from 1 species